UUGGGAGGCAAGCAGCUGUUCAAACCACCUUGGUAUCAGAAGCAGCUUGGGAAUCGGGAGGCAGGAAGAGGGCUCAGUUGGAUGUCCGGUAGAUAUAUGCUAGGAUAAAGCUCUCUCCUGCUCUUUAGAUGGUGAGGAACAGGGGUCCCUCAGGCAUUGAUCCUUGCUUCUAAACCCCGUUAGGAUCCAAGAACACAACGUUAUCUUUGAUCGAUACGAGUGUAAGCAGUUGUACCAAAUCUAUUGAUCAGUCAGACAUAUGAAAGGAUAUGCUGCCUUUUGGUCACAAGAAUCCCCAAGGAGACAACAGAACAAACCAUAUCUAUGGGCUA